ensembl:lncRNA
UGGUCAACACAUCGCUAAUAAUAAACUGAAGAAGGAACUGAGAGCCAAUCAGAGACAGCGAGAGACAGCAUGUAAUUUUCAGCUGUGGUUGUUUCACACUUUUUUUGGGUCUUUCAUCAGAUCUGUCAGCAGGAGUUGGGCUGUUGUAAAGCUCUUAGGAUUUUUUUUGUGUGUGUGUGCUCCGAGUGGACGAGAUCAGUGAUGAGAACCUGUGAGAGUUCCGCGGAGAUGGAUGAUGUAACCUGUUGUCACGGAACGAAGCGGCAGAGGUCUACGGCUGCAGGAUUUCUCCGGGGAACAUCUUGCCGUCACGCUUCACUGGCGUCUGAAGAGCGCCAGGGAAACCCUGACUGCAGGAGCGGGACAAGAGCUGAGACGAGAAAAGAGACAGAGCUGGGAGGGCUGACUCUUGCGCAUUUGGAAAUUUGGCCUGUAAGUACCCUUCAGCUGGGGAUCAAAGCUGUGCACUGCACACACACCGCCUGAGAACGGACGUAUAGGCCCACAGAGGGAGGAGUGUGUGUGUGUGUGAGAAGGUCAGCAAGAGGCGACUCGUUCUUGGACGCUGUACAAUCUCCAGACGGCGAUCCCCACUGCGCAGGAUUAAACUGUGUGUGUGUGUGGAUCCUGCACUGAAAAACACAGCUUGACAUGCAAAUUUUCCACAGUAUGCUUAAGGGAAUAAACUCACCCAGGAUGACUGUGGGACUUGCAGUGGUUAAAGUUUAUUGCCCCGAACCCUCGUAUAUUUCAGCACUGACCUGCAGUCAGUCCUUCCCACAGCCAUUUGCAUCUGAUCUGGAAUCAGUUCAUGACAUCACUGUGCUUAACCAUAGGGGUCAGGGAUUAGCUGGUUAGCAUGGCCCACUCAGCCCCUGCUAGUAGAGGCCAUAGAUACACCACUUUGCAGAUAAAAAGCAUGUUUUAGCAUGACAAAAAGAAGCAUUUUAAAAGUACAUUUAAAAAAAUAAAGAUGUUUCAAGUGGUCCUCAUGUGAAAUGGAUCAGCGCUGUCAUGACAAUUUCCCUGUGGCUUGUUUUGC